rnacentral:rRNA from 1 species
ACACAUGCAGUCGAGCGGUAGAGAAGUGCUUGCACUUCUUGAGAGCGGCGGACGGGUGAGUAAUACCUAGGAAUCUGCCUAGUGGUGGGGGAUAACGUUCGGAAACGGACGCUAAUACCGCAUACGUCCUACGGGAGAAAGCGGGGGACCUUCGGGCCUCGCGCCAUUAGAUGAGCCUAGGUCGGAUUAGCUAGUUGGUGAGGUAAUGGCUCACCAAGGCAACGAUCCGUAACUGGUCUGAGAGGAUGAUCAGUCACACUGGAACUGAGACACGGUCCAGACUCCUACGGGAGGCAGCAGUGGGGAAUAUUGGACAAUGGGCGAAAGCCUGAUCCAGCCAUGCCGCGUGUGUGAAGAAGGUCUUCGGAUUGUAAAGCACUUUAAGUUGGGAGGAAGGGCAGUAACUUAAUACGUUGCUGUUUUGACGUUACCGACAGAAUAAGCACCGGCUAACUCUGUGCCAGCAGCCGCGGUAAUACAGAGGGUGCAAGCGUUAAUCGGAAUUACUGGGCGUAAAGCGCGCGUAGGUGGUUUGUUAAGUUGGGUGUGAAAGCCCCGGGCUCAACCUGGGAACUGCAUCCNAAACUGGCCAACUAGAGUACAGUAGAGGGUGGUGGAAUUUCCUGUGUAGCGGUGAAAUGCGUAGAUAUAGGAAGGAACACCAGUGGCGAAGGCGACCACCUGGACUGAUACUGACACUGAGGUGCGAAAGCGUGGGGAGCAAACAGGA